rnacentral:rRNA from 1 species
AUUGAACGCUGGCGGCAGGCCUAACACAUGCAAGUCGAACGGUAGCAGGAAACAGCUUGCUGUUUCGCUGACGAGUGGCGGACGGGUGAGUAAUGUCUGGGAAACUGCCUGAUGGAGGGGGAUAACUACUGGAAACGGUAGCUAAUACCGCAUAACGUCGCAAGACCAAAGAGGGGGACCUUCGGGCCUCUUGCCAUCGGAUGUGCCCAGAUGGGAUUAGCUUGUUGGUGGGGUAACGGCUCACCAAGGCGACGAUCCCUAGCUGGUCUGAGAGGAUGACCAGCCACACUGGAACUGAGACACGGUCCAGACUCCUACGGGAGGCAGCAGUGGGGAAUAUUGCACAAUGGGCGCAAGCCUGAUGCAGCCAUGCCGCGUGUAUGAAGAAGGCCUUCGGGUUGUAGAGUACUUUCAGCGGGGAGGAAGGGAGUAAAGUUAAUACCUUUACUCAUUGACGUUACCCGCAGAAGAAGCACCGGCUAACUCCGUGCCAGCAGCCGCGGUAA